ACUGGAAACUGUGAAGUACGAACCGAGACACUCGCCGUCUCGCUCUCUCCCUGGAACCACGCUGGAAUCCAGCCAGUGCCGUUUCUCUUACGCCCUGAUCCUAGCAGCGAAUUGAGCUUUGCGAUCUCCUGAACGUUUUCCCGCCUGGAAAAUCUGCUAGUGAGAUUGAAGCUAUCAGUAGAAACAAAAGUAAACAAAAAUUCUGCUCUGGAAAAAAAAAAA